rnacentral:rRNA from 1 species
AUACGUAGGGCCCAAGCGUUGUCCGGAUUUAUUGGGCGUAAAGAGCUCGUAGGCGGUUCGGUAAGUCGGGUGUGAAAACUCAGGGCUCAACCCUGAGACGCCACUCGAUACUGCCAUGACUAGAGUCCGGUAGAGGAGCGUGGAAUUCCUGGUGUAGCGGUGAAAUGCGCAGAUAUCAGGAGGAACACCGAUAGCGAAGGCAGCGCUCUGGGCCGGUACUGACGCUGAGGAGCGAAAGCGUGGGGAGCAAACAGGAUUAGAAACCCGAGUAGUCC